UGGGGAAUAUUGCACAAUGGGCGCAAGCCUGAUGCAGCCAUGCCGCGUGUAUGAAGAAGGCCUUCGGGUUGAAAAGUACUUUCAGCGAGGAGGAAGGCGUUGUGGUUAAUAACCGCAACGAUUGACGUUACUCGCAGAAGAAGCACCGGCUAACUCCGUGCCAGCAGCCGCGGUAAUACGGAGGGUGCAAGCGUUAAUCGGAAUUACUGGGCGUAAAGCGCACGCAGGCGGUCUGUCAAGUCGGAUGUGAAAUCCCCGGGCUCAACCUGGGAACUGCAUCGAAACUGGCAGGCUAGAGUCUUGUAGAGGGGGGUAGAAUUCCAGGUGUAGCGGUGAAAUGCGUAGAGAUCUGGAGGAAUACCGGUGGCGAAGGCGGCCCCCUGGACAAAGACUGACGCUCAGGUGCGAAAGCGUGGGGAGCAAACA
rnacentral:rRNA from 1 species